CCUACGGGAGGCAGCAGUGGGGAAUCUUGCGCAAUGGGCGAAAGCCUGACGCAGCCACGCCGCGUGAAUGAUGAAGGUCUUAGGAUUGUAAAAUUCUUUCACCGGGGACGAUAAUGACGGUACCCGGAGGAGAAGCCCCGGCUAACUUCGUGCCAGCAGCCGCGGUAAUACGAAGGGGGUUAGCGUUGCUCGGAAUUACUGGGCGUAAAGGGAGCGUAGGCGGACAUUUAAGUCAGGGGUGAAAUCCCGGGGCUCAACCUCGGAAUUGCCUUUGAUACUGGGUGUCUUGAGUAUGAGAGAGGUGUGUGGAACUCCGAGUGUAGAGGUGAAAUUCGUAGAUAUUCGGAAGAACACCAGUGGCGAAGGCGACACACUGGCUCAUUACUGACGCUGAGGCUCGAAAGCGUGGGGAGCAAACAGGAUUAGAUACCCUGGUAGUCCACGCCGUAAACGAUGAUUGCUAGUUGUCGGGAUGCAUGCAUUUCGGUGACGCAGCUAACGCAUUAAGCAAUCCGCCUGGGGAGUACGGUCGCAAGAUUAAAACUCAAAGGAAUUGACGGA
rnacentral:rRNA from 1 species